UUUGCUAUUCCUAUUCAGCCCUCUCUCCCUGCCAACAUGUAGAGAUCUCUUUAUUGUUUCCAUCAUUUUUUUUCCAGAAUGUCAUACAGUUGGAAUCGUUUGCACUGAAUAAUAUUCCGUUGCCUGGAUGUAUGCUUACCUCCUGAAGAACAUGUUGGUUGCUUCCAAGCUUUGGAAGUUAUGAAUCAAGCUGCUAUAAAUGUCUGUGUGAAAGAUUUUUGUAUGGACAUAUGUUGUCAGCUCUAUGGAUGAAUGCCAAGGAGCACAACUUCUGGAUCAUGUGUGAGUUUUGCUCAUUAUGUGGCCUAUAUAGAUGCUUGAUUGACAUUAUUAUGACUUGUGAGUCAGCAACUCACAGCAAGAGCUCAAAGUCUUUGAAUUCAGCUGACAAAGGAAGGAUUGCACCAAAUGUAUGCCACUGUCUAUUCUACUUAGGGUGACAUGCAGAAGAAUGAAACUGGACCACUUGCCUACACCACACACAAAAAUAAAUUCAAAAUGGAUGAUGUGAGACAGGAAACCAUCGAAAUCUACCAGAAAAACAGGCAGCACCCUCUUCGACCUCAGCCAUAGCAACUUCCUACUUGACAUGUCUCCAGAGGUAAGGGGGGAAAAUAAAUUAUCGGGACCUCAUCAGGAUAAAAAGCUUCUGCACAGUGAAGAAAACAAUCAACAAAACUAAAAGCAACAUUUCCCCCCCUCUUAAUGUUCCUUCACGCAAUCUCUUCCUAAACAUAAAAAGUGUCUUCAAAUUC